GUUCAUAGAUGCAGUGAUUAGGCCAGAAAAUGAGUUUCCUUUUCCAGAUGAAGGGUAUUACUAUGUUGUGGAUGCUGGAUAUUCAAACGUGCCUGGAUUCUUGGCACCCUACCGAGGUGAGAGAUAUCAUUUGCGUGAUUAUAGGGGACCUCGACGAGCACCAAGGGGUACUAUGGAGUUGUUCAACUAUAGGCAUUCCUCAUUACGUAAUGUAAUUGAGCGGUGUUUUGGUGUUUUGAAAGCUCGUUUUCCAAUUUUGAAAUUGAUGCCUAAUUAUCCUCCGAGAAGGCAACGACGAAUUCCUAUUGCAUGUUGUGUGUUACAUAAUUUUAUAAGAAAAGAAGCUCGUCGUGAUAGGAUGUUUGAAGAGUUUCAAGUUGAAGACAUGAUCAUUGAUUCAGAAAAUACAACAACACCGAAUAUAGAUAUGUCUGCAGGAAAUAUUGCACAAAUGGGUGACAUUAGAGACAAGAUCGCAGCGGAUUUGUGGCGGGAUUUUAUUUAGUGCUCAUGACAACAUGAUUUUAAAUUUUAUAUUGCAUAUAUUUUAGAUAUUUGUGAGACUAUGAGAGAUUUGAUCUAUGAUUUAAGAUUAUAUCUUGGAGGACAUGAGACCAUUUUGGGUUAGCUAA